rnacentral:rRNA from 1 species
GCACGCAGAGUUGAUCCUGGCUCAGAUUGACGCUGGCGGCAGGCUUAACACAUGCAAGUCGAGCGGUAGCACAGGGGAGCUUGCUCCUGGGUGACGAGCGGCGGACGGGUGAGUAAUGUCUGGGAAACUGCCUGAUGGAGGGGGAUAACUACUGGAAACGGUAGCUAAUACCGCAUAACGUCGCAAGACCAAAGAGGGGCUUCGGGCCUCUUGCCAUCAGAUGUGCCCAGAUGGGAUUAGCUAGUAGGUGGGGUAAUGGCUCACCUAGGCGACGAUCCCUAGCUGGUCUGAGAGGAUGACCACCCACACUGGAACUGAGACACGGUCCAGACUCCUACGGGAGGCAGCAGUGGGGAAUAUUGCACAAUGGGCGCAAGCCUGAUGCAGCCAUGCCGCGUGUGUGAAGAAAGGCUUCGGGUUGUAAAGCACUUUCAGCGAGGAGGAAGGUGGUGAGCUCUAAUACGUCAUCAAUG